rnacentral:lncRNA from 1 species
AUAUUUAUAGUUAGUUUAGUGACCAUCAAGUUUUUAGCGUCGUUGCCGGGGACUAAAAUAUUAGGAGCACUUUAUUUUUAUUAAUUUAGCCAUUUUUAUUUUUUAUUAUGAUUUUUUAGUUUAUUUUUUAUUUGCUUCUGGCAGGUUCUUUUAUUUUAUGAUAAGAAGAAACCUGUCGGGACCAUUGUUAUUUGACAGUGAGAUUGAAAGUACUGCUCACAGAAACCGUAGAAAAGUAAGGCAAAGUCUACAGAAUAUAG